GACGAACGCUGGCGGCGUGCCUAAUACAUGCAAGUCGAACGCUGAAGGAGGAGCUUGCUUCUCUGGAUGAGUUGCGAACGGGUGAGUAACGCGUAGGUAACCUGCCUGGCAGCGGGGGAUAACUAUUGGAAACGAUAGCUAAUACCGCAUAAUAGUAGAUGUUGCAUGACAUUUGCUUAAAAGGUGCAAUUGCAUCACUACUAGAUGGACCUGCGUUGUAUUAGCUAGUUGGUGGGGUAACGGCUCACCAAGGCGACGAUACAUAGCCGACCUGAGAGGGUGAUCGGCCACACUGGGACUGAGACACGGCCCAGAAUCCUACGGGAGGGAGAAGUAGGGAAUUUUUGGCAAAGGAAGGAAGGCUGAACAAGCAACGCCGCGUGAGUGAAGAAGGUUGUCGGAUCGUAAAGGUCUGUUGUAAGAGAAGAACGAGUGGGAGAGUGGAAAGUUCACACUGUGACGGUACCUUACCAGAAAGCGACGGCUAACUACGUG
rnacentral:rRNA from 1 species